AGGGACUCUUGCUGCCUAUAUAGUACAUCCCAGACAGGCACAGAAAUAGAGUGGCAGGGUGAUACAAUUCUGUAUUCCCAGUAAAGCUGGGCGGCGGGGAUGAAGUAAGAUUACAGGGAUGGAAGCCAAGGCUUCACACCUGCUGAGCCCCCAGCCUGCCACGGUCAAGUGCUAACCCACUUCUCCAGCAGGUGAAUACCAAGAAUGGCUCUAUAAUUUAUCUGCAAAUCUAUUCGGCCUCUGAGGAUACAAUUCGUCAGAGCUGUAACUAGAGCAAAACAAGCAGAGUGAUCUCUUCUUGAGCCUGGGCUCUGGCUUCUCCCAGAAGUGUUUGUUCUACAAUUUAAAACAAAGAUUGCACUGGACCGCACUCCUCCACAGGGAAAAUCCAACCAUACAGGUGCUUGGUGUCUCUGCUUUAUCUCACAAAUCCCUACCAUUACCUCUUAGGCACUUAGAACGGGACCAACCUUCCCUUCCUCUGCUUCCUCAGAGAUCACACAGUUACUGCACCUUCUGAGCAGGGCUGUUCAGAAUGCCACCAAGACGUUUCUAGACAUGCAGCAUCUCAAGUGCUCAUUCACAGACGAGAUUUCUGGGUCACACAAUGGAAUCAGAAUUACUAGAGAGACUUUCCAGAACCUGAAUAUUUAAGUACAACAAGCACCCAAGCUGUGAGGAGAUCCGCUGCUUGCCAGGCAGGGCAGGGCAGGACUGGGCAGUCAGAGUCCCGGUCACUGUCUCCUGCAGCCUGAAGCAGCUGCCUCGUUCACUCCAGGGCACAACAGGAAGGGCGUCAUUUUCCAGGUGCACAGUGAAGAGGUUCACAGAGCUGCCAGAAAUUCCUAAAGAACUAAGUCAAAGAAGGUUCACCAUUGCUUUGAAAAUUGGUCAAUGUCAUUCACCUCCCUCCUGAGGAACUAUGGUUUUUCAAAAUGCAUUCUCUUGAUCCCCCCGCCAUUUGAAGAUGAUCCACCUCCCUGCUUCCAGAGAAGGAUGGAGAGGAAAUCAGAGGCGGAAAAGGAAGGGGAUGAAAAAGAGAACCGAGACGUGUUAUGUCACAGACUGUGGAGACACGCACUAACAAAAAAGAAACACCAAAACCAACGUGUUAUUAUUGUCAAAGAAGCAAAGCAAUCCUCAACUUUUUAAGAGCAAAAACGCCUUUUCUCUAACAGAUAUUUUGCAAGGCUCUUUUAUUGUCCUGAUAUAAAAUUCAUAAAUCGUUUAACUACCUAACUAGAAAGGAACAAUAUAACAUUCUAAAUAUAAUACAAAGGAAAAACAGAAUUAAAAUAAGUUCCAUCAUAGCAAUCUCAGGUGAGUCAGGUACUUGACUGUCCCUGAAAGGAGAAUUACCCUAGAAACAAGACUGGUGUAGAGACUGGUAACGGGAAUGCUGCGGCAGUAACUCAGCAUGCAUGCUGCCUCUUAGAAUAUGAUAUUUGGAAAGGAUGGACAAUUUUCAAUAAAUUUCCAAAGCUAAAAAAAAAAGUAUAAUCUUCCCUUGAUAGUGGUUAUUGUCCUUCAUGUGGUAGGUAUAGAAAACUCACUGAUAUUUAAAUCAUGUCCAAAAAUGUGUUUAUAUAGUGCAUCUUAAGCUCAAAUAAUUAGAAACAUAUUUGUCCAAACCCAUACAAAUGUUCCAUAGCACAUCUGAAGUCACGCAGCACACGGAACAAUUCUUGGCUGUGCAGCCCUACCCCAUGCACUACAGGGGUCCAGCAGCUCCAGCCCUUCCAGAUUAAAAGCUGGACAGGGCAGAUGCAGGUUAGGUGAGUCCUGAGGCCUGAACACUUGAAGGAGGAGAAAGCUCUCCAAGAAAAAGGAGAAACAAACUGACAGGGGCCUCAGGGUCCCUGAAGUCUCUUGCACUGGCUUCAUGGUAAAUCCACUCUAGAUGAGACUUGUUUGCAAAGUGUGACAUCACGAGAGUCACACUAGAAAACAAAACUAAAACUGUAAACUCAUGCACUUUAAGGCAGAAGCUAUUUGGCCAAACGCCUGCAGGCUUCAGGAGGAAAGAUGCACGGGCAGAGCACCAAGGUAGAGACCACAUGGGAGGGCUGGCACCUCAGCACCUGUGCUCUGAAGCACCGCCUGCUACUUAGCGCCAGGGGGAAUGCACACUCAGUGUCAAAUCUUCAACAGCAGGGUGACAUCUGAGUUUGUAGGUGAAAUCUCCCGAUAUUUAAAAGUUUGCUUGGAGUUUUAAUGAAACACUGGCUGAACCAAAGGAAGCAUGAGUGAAGGAUGUUAAUGUGUCUACUCCGCUUUACAAAUAAAAAAGAUACCCAGGGCGCUGGGAAACCAAGCAACCCGCUCACCUCCCUGCUAAGCGGUAGUGAGCCACCGGUGCUCGGGCUGAAAGUCAGAUAUCCCCACCCCUUUCCCUCCCCACCCCCCCAUUAGUAAAUGGGAGCCAGAGAUCUGAGCAUCUCUUGGGAGAAUGACCAUAUACAAUAUAUCAAAUAAAGGGAUUUCUUUCUACUAUGUCUUUGAAGACAAAUAUUUUUUUCACUGUUUUUGCUUUAUUCUGAUUAAUGGUACUGCUCUAUUCAAUAUGUUUUGGUAAGUUCUAUAAUGUUCCGUAUUUCAUUUUACUGUGCUAUACAGGAUUGAAAGAACAACUAUUGUGAAGAUAGCGAGAUAUACUGUGGUACCUAUUACUGUUAUCCCGGUAACCUGCUGUGAAGUUCUGUACCAAUUUCACUGUACAAUCUUAGUUGGCUUUAUUCUGACUUGUUCUGCUGUAUUUUACUACCUUAAAUAAUAAAAAAAUCUUUAGAAAUGAUACCACCUAGCUAACAUAAAACAAAAUGAAAUAAAAGCCAGACUAGUUUAUGGAAUGAACAAUGAAA